rnacentral:tRNA from 1 species
GGAGAGCGCUGCCCUUGCAAGGCAGAGGUCAGCGGUUCGAACCCGCUUAUCUCCA